CAUCAAUGAAUAAAAUUCAACGUUUUUUAAUAUUGCAUUUAAAGUAUGUUAGAUAAAUCAAAUAACAUUUGUUAGAAGUGCCUGUUUAUGUCAUCAAAAACCCCAUAAAUCUUAAUAAAAACCAUUCUAUAGUACCCACGCUAUAGCCAACCAACGUAUACUAAAAUGAACCACCCAUUUCGCUACAGAACUCUAAAUUGCUUAUCCAAAAAACCUGGACCCAAACGUUUCCGAAAAUACCACAUUAUUCCUCCAUUUUUUGACGAUUGAUAAUUUUCUCGAUGUCAAUAUUAAAAACUAGUCUUUCAACUUUUGACACUUCUCUUGACACUUGUCAAAUCGUUGUCAACGAUUUAUUUUUAUCAAG